CGCACUAACUCACGCAUACAGAAAACUGAGCAGGGCUCAUAAACGUCAGAUUGACUACAGGUUAGAAAUGACUGAGCCACCCAGGGGACUCAUUUAUCUUCACAUCAUAUAUUUAUGGACAGGUGGGGUGGAGGGCACUGUGCUGGCUUCUCUGGCCCCUCCAGUCCAUCUCUCCGGGGAGAGGCUUGGCCUGACACUGCUGGUCUGUGUGGUGAAUGACUUCAGGAGAGGUCACCUGGAGAUCAGCUGGAGGUCAGCCUCUGAUGAGGAGUACACCAACAUCACGCCAUACAACGGCGCAGUAACCAGGAAGCAUCGCGGCCACAGCGCUGUGGCGAUGAUCACGGUUGUCACCAGCAACUGGCCGUCCUACAGCUGCUCUGUGCGCCGCAAGAAACACUCAAAAGCCAAAAAAAGACACCGCAUCACCUCAGCAGUUUCCAAAUCUUUUAUUCCUAAAGGUGAAGAUGAAAUGUGCGACAGUGAUGAAGAGACAGAAGAUGUUACUGUGAGGACGAACGCGGUGGUUGUGCUGUAUAUGCGGCUCCUUCUGAUGAAGAUAAUAGUCUUUGAUGCACUAAUGACUAUUUAUCUUGUUGUUAAGUGGUAAGAGUGAGUCACUAAACAGGACACUAUAACAUUAGUUUUCAUAAGAAGUACAUCACAUUUAAUGUAAAAGAGUAGACAAUUUAAUCAGUGAAUUCAAUAAUGGCCAAACUCAUCAGUUUGACAGGUUUUGUAAUCUAAAAGUGCAUUCUGUUGUAUGCAAGAAGGUCCCAGCACCCAUUCAUUCAUGUAUUUAUUCUGAUUUUUUUUUUACGUUGUUAGAUCCAAAUAUGUCCGAUUCCUGCAGCUGGGACACUGGCAGAUAUGUGGAAAAGAAGAACUUUGGAUACAGAACAUGAUGCUGAAAAGAAACCAGAGCAACUGAGGCUCUUUCUUUUGUCAACUCUGAGAUGAUUUCUACGCAUAAAGAAGAAAGGAGCGCUCCAUCUCUUUAUGGCUGGCUUCACAAAGACAGUUUACCGGGAGUUUUGGGGAAAGCUACAGGAACAAAAGAAGUAAUCCUCUGGAGUUUACUGCUUUGAAUUGGUAGUGGCGCCUUUUUUUCUUUUCUCAUCCCAGGUGUUUUUGACUGUGACAGUUGAAAUGAGAGCCUGUAUCUGUGAGGCCAAGUCUGAUGGUAUCUGAUCAAAACAUAACCUCACACAGGUGGAUCAAUGCCUGCAUUUUUUGUGUGCUUUUCAAGAUGUGUGUGGAGCUCCUGA